rnacentral:lncRNA from 1 species
UCUAUGUUUAAUUUUUUAUGGAAACUUUAAUAAAUAUCAUUUUAAAAAAAACAAAAAACUAAGUGGGAGAUACUGGGUGUGUGUGUGUUGGGAGAACUCUUUUGUCCAACUUAACUAACAGUGCAAGCCUCGCCUACAGACUGGAGCUGGUAUGCUGGAAUGGUUAUUUUUUUUACAAAAAUUUUAUUGGUUUUUACAAUAUCAACGGCGGUGUGCUGGAAUGGUUAAGGGCAUAAGCUAUGAGCUGGAAGCCUGCUGUUCAUAUCUCAGAGGUGUGAACUCAGAUAGUCUUCUCUCUUUUUAAAUUUUUUUUUUUAAAAAAAAUCUCUCUUUUUUUAAAAAAAAAUUUAAAUUGGUUUUCAUAACAUUAUAAACAAACACAUAAGACAAACAAACAUAAAUCAUAGCCUUAUUAAAAAUUACACUUAUUAACAUUGUUAAGUGACUUCCUCGCAUCCUCUUGGUUGAAUUUCAUUGCAUAUCCUUUUAACGGUUUUCCAAAUCACAGUUCUUAUAAAAUUUAACUUAAACAUUAACAUCCUUAAAUCUUCACAUUAUGAAAUUAAACAUAUUAAUUCAUCACUUAACAUAAAUAAAAUCCUAAGCCAAUUAAGUAUCUGCAAGCUGUUUUCAGUUAAUUUAACUUAACAUAUUUAACUAAGUAAUCAUUAAAUUUAAUCCACUCUUCCUGAUACUCCUCCUCUUUCUGGUUGCGGACUCUUCUGGUUACGUUGGCUAGCUCCGAAAAAUCCAUCAUCUUCAUCUGCCAUUCUUCUAUCGUUGGUAAUUCUUGGGUUCAGAUAGUCUUCUCUCUGUCACAGUGGGAUUAACAAUACCAGCCUACCUUCUAGGUUUGCUGUACAGGUAGCUGAGAUAAUGUAUGAGUAUGAUACAAAGUGCUGUGAGUAUGAUAUAAACAUAUUGGUUUUAUUGGUUUGUUUCAGACUGAUCUUCUGGAAGACCUUUGGCCACGAUUGAGUCAGUCAGUACAAGCCUCUGAUGGUAAGCGAUGAUUGGUUGUGCCAAAAUCAAGAAAUUAAGGUCUUUGAUGUGUGUCUUUGGAAGAAGCUGCCCAGUCCUCCCCUCACUAUGACUGUUUCCUUUGAAGCUUAAUAGCUGCUAUCUUUAAAAAAAUAAAAAUGGGAGCAAACAUAAGAGCAUUAAGCCCAGAGUCCAAAAUGACCUAAUUGUGCCACUGCAGCUUAAAGGAUAGGAGGUGUUCGGGCUGAGAAGAAUAGCUCUGCAGGGUUAUGCAUUCUCCAAGUCUAAUUAAACACACACACACACACACACACACACACACACACAAACACAAACACACGACCCAUUCUGAAUGGAACUGCUCCAGUGCUUAGGCUUUGAACGCAUAUUCACUGUACUAAUAUAGGGAAUAAUUCAAUUGUCAGAUAUAUAACAAACUUAUAUUGUGGAGGCAGAGAUUUUACUUUCUUGGGCUUCAUGAUCACUGCAGAUGGUGACAACGGUCACAAAAUUAAAAGACGCCUGCUUCUUGAGAGAAAAGCGAUGACAAACCUAGACAGCAUCUUAAAAAGCAGAGACAUCACCUUGCCAACAAAGGUCCGUAUAGUAAAAGCUAUGGUUUUCCCAGUAGUGAUGUAUGGAAGUGAGAGCUGGACUAUAAAGAAGGCUGAUCGCCGAAGAAUUGAUGCUUUUGAAUUCUGGUGCUGGAGGAGACUCUUGAGAGUCCCAUGGACUGCAAGAAGAUCAAAAGUAUCCAUUCUGAAGGAAAUCAGCCCUGAGUGUUCACUGGAAGGACGGAUCAUGAAGCUGAGGCUCCAAUACUUUGGCCACCUCAUGAGAAGAGAAGACUCCCUGGAAAAGACCCUGAUGUUGGGAAAGAUGGAGGGCACAAGGAGAAGGGGACGACAGAGGACGAGAUGGCUGGACAGUGUUCUCGAAGCUACCAGCAUGAGUUUGACCAAACUGUGGGAGGCAGUGGAAGACAGGAGUGCCUGGCAUGCUCUGAUCCAUGGUGUCACGAAGAGUCAGACACGACUAAACAACAACAAAUACAGUGGUACCUCGGGUUACAUAUGCUUCAGGUUUCAUACGCUUCAGGUUACAGACUCCACUUACCCAGAAAUAGUGCUUCAGGUUAAGAACUUUGCUGCAGGAUAAGAACAGUAUUUGUGCUCCGGCGGGGCGGCGGCAGCAGGAGGCGCCAUUAGCUAAAGUGGUGCUUCAGGUUAAGAACAGUUUCAGGUUAAGAACGGACCUCCGGAACGAAUUAAGUGCUUAACCCGAGGUACCACUGUAUUGUGUCUGCUUGUGCCAAUGUGCUGCUAUUUGGAAAAUGGCCAGCAGGUGGCACCACCUAACUACUCCCACCCCCCACAACCCACAUGGUAGGAAAUCUUCCCAAAUUCUGUCUCAUGUGGCAGACUUUUGGAAUUUAGAACACAAGAAGAAUCCUGUUGGAUCAGGCCAAUGGCCCAUUUCCUCCAGCAUCCUCUUCUCUCAGUGGUCAGUCACAUGUUCUGAUGGGAAGCCAGCACGCAAGACCACAAACACCCUUGUCUGCUGCAAUUGUAUUCAGAAGCAUACUUCAGAGUACAAAUUCAGGGUUUAUGUCAGAAAACUAAUACAAAACUUUGGCUGGGAAAAUUUUGUUUUGUUUCCCCCCAAAAAUUUUUUAAUUGAUUUUCCAAAAACAAAUAAACAAACAAACAAAAAUCUCAACGGUAUUUAAGCCAAACUUAUUAACAUUGUUAUGUGACUUCCUCGCAUCCCCCUGGUUGAAUUUCAAUGUAUAUCAUUUUAACAGUUUUCCAAAACCAAUAUUCUUAUAAAAUUAACUUAGUCACUUAACAUCUUUUUUUUUUCUUUCUAGUUCGGCAAUUAAACAUAUUAAUUCAUCACAUUACAUAUGUAAGUCCUAAGCCUACCUGGUAUUUGCAAGCUUCUCCAAUUAAUUUAACUUAACAUAUUUAACUAAAUAAUCUUUAACUUUUGUCCAUUCUUCCUGAUAAUCCUCCUCCUUCUGGUCAUGGACUCUUCCAGUCAGGUCGGCUAGCUCCCAAAAAUCCAUCAUCUACAUCUGCCAAUCUUCUACUGUUGGUACUUCUUGUGUUUUCCAAUUCUUAGCUAAUAAAAUUCGAGCAGAAGUUGUGGCAUAGAAAAAUAAUUUCACAUCUUUCUUGGGCAGUUCCAAACCUGUUGUUCCAAGAAGAAAGGCCUCUGGUUUCUUAAUAAAUGUAUAUUUCAACAUUUUUUUCAAUUCAUUAUAAAUCUUCUCCCAGCAGUCUUUCCCCUUGGGGCAGGUCCACCACAUAUGAUAGAAGGUACCCUCCUUUUCUUUACAUUUCCAUGGCUGGGGAAGUUUUGAGAGGAUAUCAGACUUUAGGGUUGAAACAUGCAAAGAUACGAGAAAACUUUUGACAGUAAGAGCUGUUCAACAGUGGAACAGUCUCCCUCAGGAGGUUGCGGACACUCCUUCUUUGGAGGUUUUUAAGCAGAGGUUGUCAUAGAUGCUUUAGCUGAGAUUCCUGCAUUGCAGGGGGUUGGACUAGAUGACCCCAGGGUCCCUCCCAACUCUAUUAUUUUGUAAACCGCAAAUGCUUCUCUACACCAGUUUAGAAACAUUUUCCUCCCCCCACAAGCUUUAUAUACUCUCUUUCUCUCUGUAGCUUUAUGCUAAUAUAUAUUUGUUUGUUUUGAUCUGGAGUGAUUUCAAUAAACUUAUGCUAUUUCCAUUUAAGCCUUUGUCCUUUCAAAGGGUCACAAUUUUGGGCCACCCUCUUUGGUGAAAUCACAUGCAUGGUGACCCCUGCAAUGGGGCUCAGUUCUAGAUAAGUUCACAUAUAAGACUGAAAUUGUACUGUACCAAGUUGCAUAUGGCUAGGUAAAGGGACCCCUGACCAUUAGGUCCAGUCACGGACGACUCUGGGGUUGCAGCGCUCAUCUCACUUUAUUGGCUGAGGGAGCUGGCGUACAGCUUCCGGGUCGUGGCCAGCAUGACUAAGCCGCUUCUGGUGAACCAGAGCAGCGCACAGAAAAGUUGUUUACCUUCCUGCCGGAGAGGUACCUAUUGAUCUACUUGCACUUUGACGUGCUUUCGAACUGCUAGGUUGGCAGGAGCAGGGAUCAAGCAACGGGAGCUCACCCCAUCACGGGGAUUCAAACCGGCAACCGUCUGAUCGGCAAGUCCUAGGCUCUGUGGUUUAACCCACAGUGCCACGUGCAUAUGCCUACUCUGAAGCAAAUCCCAUUGAGUCCAAGUACCUGCGCAUGGUGCUAGUCCCUGACCUCUCACUGCACCUCCAGAGGAGGCCAGGAACAAUCUCCUGCUGCUCUUCUCUCCAGCUCCAAAUAUUCAAUUAUUCAGAUAUCCAAACCUGCAGACCAUGGACCAGAUCAACUUACCAAGCCACUUCAAAGGGCCCAUCCCCAGAAAAUUGGUGGCAAUUCUUUUCCCUCUUGCAAUGUCCCUCUCCUUCCUUUUGCACCCCCCACACGCUAGGAAGCUGAGAUACUCAGGAAACAGGGACUACAAUUCCUUUCUAUUUUCUGAGCAUCCCAACCUGUUAUCAGUGGUGGCGGUGAAAGAGGGGUGAGAUUGUAUUUGCCUGGUAAGCACAGAGUCAGACUUUAAGCAUCUCUGCCACAAGGUGGCACCAUCUGCUCAUUAGUCACCAGUGGAUGCAUCUCCCGCUUAUCGGAGCCUUUCUUAAAAGCUAAUUUUAAGUCCUCAAUAGCCUAUAAGCAUCUAAUAGGGACGUGUAAUCGUUCUUAAUGGAGAUUAAAAAGCGCAAGAAGGGCACCUGCUAUUUGAAUGUGCUAGUUAAUGUUGGUUUCGCAUCUGCAUUGCAGGCAUAACAAUAUAAGGCGAGCCUUCUGGAUCAGGUCUCAUCCGGCAUCCUGUUCUCAUAGUAGCAGUGCUCUGGGGACUCUGCAUUUGCUCAGAGGCAUUCUCUGCUCCAGUAGUGAACUUUGGCAUUCAGAUCAGAACAGGUCCCGGGUCUGCGCUCCAAGGAAGUUUGGUUAUACGUUCAUUCAUAUAUUCCAGGCAUGUCCAACUCCCAAGAGACUGUGAUCUACUUCCGCUAUAAAAAAUCUGACAGUGAUCUACCCGUUUGGGUAGGAAAACACAAAGUUGUGAGGUUUUCUUUGUGGGGGGCAUCAAUGAGGCAAUCAGGAUGACGCAAUCGACCGGGGGCGCCCCGCAAUCGACUGAUAGAUCAAUUGACUGGGCAUGCCUGAUAUAUUCCAUUUCAGUCCUGUUCCUCAUCAGUUUAUGAUCCCAUUGCAGGUUAAAACAUUAAACAUAAUAAUUUUAAUUUUAAUUAUUUUUCUCUGCCCAUCUACCUGUGUUGCCAAAGAAUAAAUUAAUUAAAAUUGAAGACUCUCUUGUCUAACAGAGCAGGCAUGCUAUCUGCUGAACUCAUUCAGAUUAGAGCCCUGAUAUUUAGGAGAUUGGGACGCGAGUGGUGCUGUGGGUUAAACCACAGAGCCUAGGACUUGCCGAUCAGAAGGUCGGCGGUUCGAAUCCCCACGACAGGGUGAGCUCCCGUUGCUCGGUCCCUGCUCCUG